GCCAGUUUCCCUUUCAGUUUCUCGCUCUGUCCGCUGCAAGUGCAAGUUUUUAAUGGUUGCGUGAAAAAGAAGUUUGGUAUAUUGGUGUUUUUUGGAUAUUACUCUGUUUUCCUCGAAAUGGGCAAGAAAGAACAGCAACAGCAGAGAGAUCACAAAAACAAACAGAGAGUUGAAGCUGUUCUCGAGCUUCUAAGAAAACAAUCUCCACUCACAGUGAAACAGGAGAAGUUCUGCAACAAUGCUUGCGUAGAACGGUUUCUGAAAGCAAAAGGUGAUAAUGUGAAGAAGGCUGCUAAGCACUUGAGGGCUUGCCUUUCUUGGAGAGAGAGUAUAGGCACUGAGCAACUAAUAGCAGACGAGUUCUCAGCUGAGCUCGCUGAAGGAGUUGCCUAUGUGGCUGGCCAUGAUGAAGAAUCCAGACCUGUUGUGAUAUUUCGCAUUAAGCAAGAUUACCAAAAAUUCCAUUCACAGAAACUGUUUACUAGGCUGCUGGUUUUUACACUUGAGGUGGCCAUAGGAUCAAUGGCAAAAAACGUUGAACAAUUUGUACUCCUCUUCGACGCAAGCUUUUUCAGAUCAGCAUCGUCUUUUAUGAACUUGUUACUGGCAACAAUGAAAAUUGUGGCUGAGUACUAUCCAUGCAGGCUUUACAAGGCUUUCAUAAUAGACCCGCCUUCCCUCUUUUCUUAUCUAUGGAAGGGUGUCCGUCCAUUUGUUGAGCUAUCAACGGUCGUUAUGGUGGUUUCAUCGCUGGACUUCGAAGAGUCAUUAGAGUACAGUGACUUCUCCAUCUACCCACGAGCCUCAUCCCUCCGAUUUGAUCCUUCGUCUAUCAAGUCAACGGCCAAGAUUGGUUCAUGCUCUUCGUCAAGAUUUUCCUUCACUGUAUCUCAUAGUUUUGACUCCCUCAAACCUUGGCACCUAACCUUGACGGACAUGUCAGCAUCCAAACUAGGACCCACUACUACCAGCUCUUCUACUAUGGGCCCAGCUUUGGUCUCCCCGGUUAACGCCAGGUCUGUCUCCUUUGCAUCACCGGUUGCUAGAACGCCGCUCAAGAACAGAAUAAACGUUGGAAGCUAUGGCAGCGGCAGGGGCAAGUUGUUCUCAUCAACACCACUACCACAGCGAGUCACCGCAAGUGAGCCUAUCAAAAUUUCUCAUCCGCGGACCCCACGUCCAUCGUUCCUCCAGUCACCGGCCUUGUUUUUCAAGAAGGAGUGCCACAUCAACAGGACUGACAAGUCUCGGGAGUCGUUCUCACCCUUUUUGAAGCUCUAUAGGCGGCCGUACGAUGAGAUGAUGUACAGGUCAAAGAUGCGGCCCCCACUUGGUGGCCUGGUUUCCAUUGUCUCUUCUCACCUUAAACACCGCCACAUGUCCGUAUCGCAACGGUUCUAAACGAAGAGUUUGUAAGCCACAUGCAAACAGACAAACCAGAAAACAGAGAGAAAGAGAGUACACAAGAGUGUUUAGUAUAUUUUAGUAUUACAUUGACCAAAGAGUCAAAUGUUGUCAAAUGUCAAUGGCAAUGACACAAGAACUAAUAAUUGAUUAAUUAUUUCUUGAAAUUAUGCUUAAUUAAAUAUAUGGUGGUGCAUUGAUUGACCAAAGCAAUUAAGAAGAGACU
rnacentral:misc_RNA from 1 species